rnacentral:rRNA from 1 species
GGGGAACCGCCUGAACUGAAACAUCUAAGUAGGGCGAGGAAGAGACAUCAAACGAGAUUCCGUAAGUAGUGGCGAGCGAACGCGGAAGAGGGCAAACCGAAGGUAGAAAUACCUUCGGGGUACGGAGCGCAUUUAAGACUCAAGUUGUUAACCGAACGGCAUGGGAAGGCCGGUCAGAGAGUGUGAGAACCACGUAGGUGAAAACGGAAAGAGCUGCGCAGAUUCCAGAGUACGGCCAGACACGUGAAACCUGGUCGGAAGAUGGGGGGACCACCCUCCAACCCUAAAUACUACCCAGUGACCGAUAGCGUAUAGUACUGUGAAGGAAAGGUGAAAAGCACCCCGGGAGGGGAGUGAAAAAGAACCUGAAACCCUGUGCCUACAAGCACCUAGAGCACGUCAAAGUGUGAUAGGGUACUUUUUGUAGAACGGUCCGGCGAGCGAUUGUAUGCAGCAAGGUUAAGGACUUAAGGUCUGGAGCCGAAGCGAAAGCGAGUUUGAAAAGGGCGUUAAGUUGCAUAUAAUGGGCCCGAAACCGGGUGACCUACCCAUGGUCAGGUUGAAGUGGAAGUAAAAUUCCAUGGAGGACCGAACCGACCUCCGUUGAAAAGGCGGCGGAUGAACUGUGGGUAGCGGAGAAAUUCCAAUCGAACCCGGAGAUAGCUGGUUCUCCCCGAAAUAGUUUUAGGACUAGCCUCAAGUUAGAUACCUGGAGGUAAAGCACUGAAUAGCCUAGCGGCCGAGAGGUUAGCGAAGCUUAUCAAACUCAGAAUGCCAGAGUAUUGAUGCUUGGGAGUCAGACAGUGUCAGAUAAAUGUCAUUGUCAAAAGGGAAACAGCCCAGAUCUACAGCUAAGGUCCCAAAGUCAGGUUAAGUGGAAAACGAUGUGAAGAUACGCAGACAACCAGGAUGUUGGCUCAGAAGCAGCCACUCAUUCAAAGAGUGCGUAAUAGCUCACUGGUCGAGCGUCUUUGCGCGGAGAAUUUAACGGGGCUAAACCUGACACCGAAGCUUAGGCAAUCCAGUAAUGGAUUGGGUAGGGGAGCGUUGUAUACGCGGAGAAACAGUAGCGUAAGCGGCUGUGGAGUGUAUAGAAGUGAGAAUGCCGGAAUGAGUAGCGCGAAUGCAGUGAGAAUCUGCAUGGCCGAAAGCCUCAGGUUUUUGGAGGAAGGUUCGUCCGCUCCAAGUUAGUCGGGAGCUAAGGUGAGGCCGGAAGGCGUAGCCGAUGCACAGACGGUAGAGAUUCCGUCACCACCAAAAGAGUUAAGCACAGGGACACAUUUGAAGUCUCAGAGCCGGGUGUUGGUUCCGGUAGAGAUCGAGGGAAAUUAGUACCGAAGUCUGAGAUGGAAGAUGGCGAGAAAAGCUGUGUGUAUUUCUGAGGUGCCCGUACCGCAAACCGACACAGGUAGGUAGGAAGAAGAUUCUAAGGCCAACGGGAGAAGGGUUGUUAAGGAACUCGGCAAAUUGACCCCGUAACUUCGGGAGAAGGGGUGCUCCAGAGAUGGAGCCGCAGAGAAUCGGCCCAAGCAACUGUUUACCAAAAACACAGGUUUGUGCUAAAUCGAAAGAUGACGUAUACGAGCUGACGCCUGCCCGGUGCUGGAAGGUUAAGAGGAGAUGUGCAAGCAUUGAAUCGAAGCCCCAGUGAACGGCGGCCGUAACUAUAACGGUCCUAAGGUAGCGAAAUUCCUUGUCAGGUAAGUUCUGACCCGCA